rnacentral:rRNA from 1 species
CACGUAGGAGGCGAGCGUUGUCCGGAAUCAUUGGGCGUAAAGAGCGCGCAGGCGGCUUGACAAGUCGGGUGUGAAAUCCCGGGGCUCAACCCCAGGACUGCAUUCGAUACUGUCAGGCUAGGAGGUAGGUAGGGGAGAUCGGAAUUCCUGGUGUAGCGGUGAAAUGCGCAGAUAUCAGGAGGAACACCGGUGGCGAAGGCGGAUCUCUGGGCCGUAACUGACGCUGAGGAGCGAAAGCAUGGGGAGCGAACAGG